GACGAACGCUGGCGGCGUGCUUAACACAUGCAAGUCGAACGGAAAGGCCCUGCUUUUGUGGGGUGCUCGAGUGGCGAACGGGUGAGUAACACGUGAGUAACCUGCCCUUGACUUUGGGAUAACUUCAGGAAACUGGGGCUAAUACCGGAUAGGAGCUCCUGCUGCAUGGUGGGGGUUGGAAAGUUUCGGCGGUUGGGGAUGGACUCGCGGCUUAUCAGCUUGUUGGUGGGGUAGUGGCUUACCAAGGCUUUGACGGGUAGCCGGCCUGAGAGGGUGACCGGCCACAUUGGGACUGGGAUACGGCCCAGACUCCUACGGGAGGAAGCAGUGGGGAAUAUUGCACAAUGGGCGGAAGCCUGAUGCAGCAACGCCGCGUGCGGGAUGACGGCCUUCGGGUGGUAAACCGCUUUCGCCUGUGACGAAGCGUGAGUGACGGUAAUGGGUAAAGAAGCACCGGCUAACUACGU
rnacentral:rRNA from 1 species